rnacentral:ncRNA from 1 species
UACUUUGGGUGCAAAUACCCGUAACUCUCUGGGACGGGAAGACCCUAUUGAGCUUCACUGUUAUGAAUCGACGUGACUUUUAGUCCUUCUACGAUUCAAAGACAGUUUCACUGGGCGGUGUGCUCUAAAUUGUAACGAGCAUUACAAAGGUAAGAGAGAAUACUAUGUAUUCUUCGCAAUUUAUUGCUCUCAUAAUGGAUUAAACUUACUGACAAGUUGGCAAACAAGCCUCCUUGGAAUUCAACAUAGCUGCUCUAUGUUGGGUUUGUCAUAGUGAUCCGGAAGUUUUUGCUUCCGCUUAAAGAAUUAAAGCUACCAUAGGGAUAACAGGCUGGUAUAGAGUUGGAGUCCACAUCUUACUCUACGCUCGGCACCUUAAUAAUAUAAAUAACUUAUCUUUUCAAGUAUGUAUACAAAAUCAUACUUAAGGUAGUAUAUAGUUAGUUAUUUAUCGGGGCAUUUCUGUUAUAAUUUAAACAGAUUUAGAAUUCAAGCGAUAUGCUGGAACAUCCUUAGAGCUUUUAUCUCUAAUUUUGCUAGUAUUUAAUAUUAUAGUGUAGUGCAGUAACUGGUUAACAUAAAGAUUUAUUAAAUAUUUUAUAAUUACCUUAAAACUAGAGUACUACUUUACACUAUGUUACAACUUAUUUAAAGCAAUUAGUAAAUUUAAAAGAUUGGAUAAUCAGCAGAUAACCAACGAGAAUUAUAGUCAUAUAGCUCUUUAGUAGGUAUCUCAGAGACUACACGCUUGACAGAGUAAUUUACUCUGAUGAUAUAGUCCGAUCCUAAUGGAAACAUUAGGGAUGUUUGAGCUGUGGAAAGAUACAAGUCUUUGUUCAAAUAUCGGGAAGUUAACUUACUUCCUAACAUUAUAGCGAUGUCGACUCUUCUUAUCCUGGGGCUGCAAGAGGUCCCAAGGGUGCAGCUGUUCUCUGCAUAAAAAGGUACGUGAGUUGGGUUAGUACGUCGCGAGACAGUACGGUCCUAUCCUCAGAGAGAUUGGAAAAAUUAAGAUCGAGGAUCAUGUACGAGAGGACCUGAUUAUGUAAACCACUGGUGAAGAUUAAACAUAGUUGUUCUCAAGCUAAGUUUACCAACGUUAACUCCUGAAAUCAUCUUAAGGAGGAAACACGGUCUGUUUUAAGUUUUUCUUAUAAUAAAGGAGAUAGAACAUCUCCGUGAUAUACUACAGCUUUCAUACUAGGUAUAUCUGAA